UCCUAGUUCAGUUGGGUAGAAUGUUGGUCUCCAAAACCCGAUGUCGUAGGUUCAAAUCCUACAGAG
rnacentral:tRNA from 1 species